AGUAGUGGCUAGUGAUGGACAAUACUUUGAAUAAAACAUGCCAACAUGGUGUACCCAGACGGACCAUUAGUUCCAACGUUGUUUAACUGCAGUAAUCGGAUGAGAACUAGUAUGUUCAAUGUGGUAUGUGUGUAUGUGUAAAUAUUGGCUAUAAAAAUUACGCCAUGUGAGUAUUUUUAUAUAAAAACUUGAUAUAUUUAAUAUUCUAAGAUAAAUUUGUAAACAAUUAAUCGAUUUCAUCUUCUCAUCUUUUUUCAAUUACUUUUCUCCCAGUCUUUUUUGAAUCUUUUUUUGAGGUCAUGAAAAAUUUUCCCAGUACUUUACAUAUCUCUCAUUUUAAAUAUAGAAAGCAUAACAGAGUGCAACACAUACCAAAAGAACAAUAUAAUACUCUUUAAACAUAAGUUAAAAAAGAAAAUUUUCGCAGAGCGGAAGGAAAGACUUCUUGCAAAAUCAGUUUUAAAGACUGAUUUUGUAGUAAACGCACACAGCUUUUAUUACACAUUUAUACUAUAAUUAUAAAAUAAGUUGAAAUUAUAAAUACAGUGCGGGUUAAAUACUCGCGUGUGUACGUAUAAAGCGAAAAAGGACUGCAGAGAUUCUGAAUGUCUAACUGGAUAUGGCUUGUUUUUGUGACCCUUGUUUAAUAUAUCAAGAAAAAUAAAACACGGCAUCGUUAGUGGCUUCGGAUUCCGGUUUAAACACUCUUGAGUAAAUAAUAUAUCUAG